ACGAACGCUGGCUGCGUGCUUAACACAUUCAAGUCGCACGGAAAGGCCCUGCUUGCCGGGUACUCGAGUGGCGAACGGGUGAGUAACACGUGGGUGAUCUGCCCUGCACUUCGGGAUAAGCCUGGGAAACUGGGUCUAAUACCGGAUAGGAGCCAUUUUUAGUGUGAUGGUUGGAAAGUUUUUUCGGUGUAGGAUGAGCUCGCGGCCUAUCAGCUUGUUGGUGGGGUAAUGGCCUACCAAGGCGGCGACGGGUAGCCGGCCUGGGAGGGUGGACGGCCACAUUGGGACUGAGGUACGGCCCAGACUCCUACGGGAGGCAGCAGUGGGGAAUAUUGCACAAUGGGCGCAAGCCUGAUGCAGCGACGCCGCGUGGGGGAUGACGGCCUUCGGGUUGUAAACUCCUUUCGCUAGGGACGAAGCUUUUUGUGACGGUACCUAGAUAAGAAGCACCGGCCAACUACGUG
rnacentral:rRNA from 1 species